UCCAUGUCAAUGAUGUAUUCUUGUGGAACUGAAUCUAAGUGAUCUCACUCAAAUAUGCGUCACUACCACUGAGACAGCAAUGGA
rnacentral:snoRNA from 1 species